GCUGGACAUGGUGGCUCAUGCCUGUAAUUCCAGCACUUGGAAGGCCGAGGUGGGGGGAUCACUUGAGGUCAGGAGUUCAGGACCAGCCUGGCCAACAGGGUGAAACCCCAUCUCUA
rnacentral:SRP_RNA from 2 species